rnacentral:rRNA from 1 species
GCAAAGGUAGCAUAGUCAUUAGUUCUUUAAUUGUGAUCUGGUAUGAAUGGCUUGACGAGGCAUGGGCUGUCUUAAUUUUGAAUUGUUUAUUGAAUUUGGUCUUUGAGUUAAAAUUCUUAGAUGUUUUUAUGGGACGAGAAGACCCUAUAGAGUUUAACAUUUGUUAUGGUCCCCUUUCUGUUUGUGAGGGUUCAYUGGGCCGUUUAAUAUGUUUUGUUGGGGUGAUGGGAGGGAUUAAUUUAACCCCUCCUUUUUGUUAUUAUAUUUAUUUAUAUUUACUUGAUCCAUUUAUUUUGAUUGUAAGAUUAAAUUACCUUAGGGAUAACAGCGUUAUCUUCCUUGAGAGUUCUUAUCGGCAGGGGGGUUUGCG